rnacentral:rRNA from 1 species
CUACGGGAUGCAGCAGUGAGGAAUAUUGCACAAUGGGGGGAACCCUGAUGCAGCAACGCCGCGUGGAGGAUGACGCAUUUCGGUGUGUAAACUCCUUUUAUAUGUCAAGAAAAUGACGGUAGCAUAUGAAUAAGCACCGGCUAACUCCGUGCCGGCAGCCGCGGUAAUACGGAGGGUGCAAGCGUUACUCGGAAUCACUUGGCGUAAAGGACGCGUAGGCGGGUUGGUAAGUCAGGUGUGAAAUCAUACAGCUUAACUGUAGAACUGCACUUGAAACUACCGACCUAGAGUAGGGGAGGGGAAGAUGGAAUUAGUGGUGUAGGGGUAAAAUCCGUAGAUAUCACUAGGAAUACCUAAAGCGAAGGCGAUCUUCUGGAACAUUACUGACGCUAAGGCGUGAAAGCGUGGGGAGCAAACAGGAUUAGAUACCCUUGUAGUC